rnacentral:rRNA from 1 species
AUUGAACGCUGGCGGCAGGCCUAACACAUGCAAGUCGAGCGGAGCGGCGGACGGGUGAGUAAUGCCUAGGAAUCUGCCUGGUAGUGGGGGAUAACGUCCGGAAACGGGCGCUAAUACCGCAUACUAUCAGAUGAGCCUAGGCCGGAUUAGCUAGUUGGUGGGGUAAAGGCCUACCAAGGAGACGAUCCGUAACUGGUCUGAGAGGAUGAUCAGGCACACUGGAACUGAGACACGGUCCAGACUCCUACGGGAGGCAGCAGUGGGGAAGAUUGGACAAGGGGCGAAAGCCUGAUCCAGCCAUGCCGCGUGUGUGAAGAAGGUCUGCGGAUUGUAAAGUACUUUCAGCGGGGAGGCGUUACCCGCAGAAGAAGCACCGGCUAACUCCGUGCCAGCCGCCGCGGUAAUAC